rnacentral:rRNA from 1 species
AUGCCGACCGACCUCUCGGCGUCGCGCUCCUCGACGUCCUCGCCAUCUUCCUCCUCCGCCGCGUCCCCUCACGGCGGCGUGCAUAGGCCGGGGGACGAGCGCGAGAAGGGGACGCCCCCGGGCCCGGGCGGCAAGCGCAGGCGGCGGCUGGCGGCGAUCGGGCCGCGGGCGAGGUGGGCGCGGGAGUGGGACCGGGCGUACCUCCUGGCGUGCGCGGCGGGGCUCAUGGUCGACCCGCUCUUCCUGUACGCCGUGUCCGUGAGCGGCCCGCUCAUGUGCGUCUUCCUCGACGGCUGGUUCGCCGCCGCGGUCACCGCGCUCCGGUGCAUGGUGGACGCCCUGCACGCCUGGAACCUGCUGCUGCGGCUCCGGACGGCGUGCGCGCCGGGGGAGGAGAAGGAGGAGGACGACGCCGACGCCGACGCCGACGAGGAGGCGCAGCGCGUCGGCGGCGGCGCGGCGCCCGCUCGGCUGCCGAGGUCCAAGAAGGGGGGGCUCCUCCUGGACGUGUUCGUCAUUCUUCCGGUGAUGCAGGUGGUGAUGUGGGUGGGCAUACCGGCGAUGAUACGGGCCGGGUCGACGACGUCGGUGAUGACGGUGCUCAUGGUGGCGUUCCUCUUCGAGUACCUGCCCAAGAUCUACCACUCGGUGCGUUUCCUCCGCCGGAUGCAGAACGUCGCCGGAUACAUCUUCGGCACCAUCUGGUGGGGCAUCGCGCUCAACCUCAUGGCCUACUUCGUCGCCGCCCACGCGGUGGGCGCGUGCUGGUACUUGCUGGGGGCGCAGCGGGCGACCAAGUGCCUCAGGGAGCAGUACUGCGCCGGGCGCGUCGGCGGGUGCGCGGCCGGCGCGCUGGCGUGCGCCGAGCCGCUCUACUACGGCGGCGCCGGCAGGCUGGGGGGCGGCGCGGGCGCGGACAGGCUCGCCUGGGCCCGCAACGCCAGCGCCAGGGCGACGUGCCUCGACAGCGGCGACAACUACCAGUACGGCGCCUACAAGUGGACCGUCAUGCUCGUGGCCAACCCCAGCCGGCUCGAGAAGAUCCUCCUCCCCAUCUUCUGGGGCCUCAUGACGCUCAGCACGUUUGGGAAUCUGGCGAGCACGACGGAGUGGUCGGAGAUAGUGUUCAACAUCAUCACCAUCACCGGCGGCCUGAUCCUGGUCACCAUGCUCAUCGGGAACAUCAAGGUGUUCCUGAACGCGACCACGUCCAAGAAGCAGGCGAUGCACACGCGGCUGCGAAGCGUGGAGUGGUGGAUGAAGCGCAAGAACCUGCCGCAGAGCUUCCGGCACCGGGUGCGGCAGCAGGAGCGGCAGCGGUGGGCGGCGACGCGCGGCGUGGACGAGUGCCGCAUCGUGCGCGACCUCCCCGAGGGCCUCCGCCGGGACAUCAAGUACCACCUCUGCCUCGGCCUCGUCCGGCAGGUGCCGCUCUUCCACCACAUGGACGACCUGGUGCUCGAGAACAUCUGCGACCGGGUCAAGUCCCUCGUCUUCCCCAAGGGAGAAGUGAUCGUGAGGGAAGGCGACCCGGUGCAGAGGAUGCUGUUCAUCGUGCGGGGGCACCUGCAGAGCAGCCAGGUGCUGCGGAACGGCGGGACGAGCUGCUGCAUGCUGGGGCCGGGCAACUUCAGCGGGGACGAGCUGCUGUCGUGGUGCCUGCGGCGGCCGUUCCGGGAGCGGCUGCCGGCGGCGUCGUCGACGCUGGUGACGCUGGAGAGCACGGAGGCGUUCGGGCUGGAGGCGGCGGACGUCAAGUACGUGACGCAGCACUUCCGCUACACCUUCGCCAACGAGAAGGUGCGGCGGAGCGCGCGCUACUACUCGCACGGGUGGCGCACCUGGGCCGCCGUCGCCGUGCAGCUCGCGUGGCGCCGCUACAGGCACCGCAAGACGCUCACCUCGCUGUCAUUCAUCCGCCCACGGCGGCCGCUGUCCAGGUGCUCCUCGCUCGGGGAGGAGAAGCUGCGGCUCUACACCGCGCUGCUCACCUCGCCCAAGCCCAACCAGGACGACCUCCUGCUCUGA